UUUGGGGACAUGAGUGUGGAUCAAUGGAGUCAGUGCCUUAGGUACAAAACAAACAAUGCCAGACGUGCUGUUUUGGGUCAGUGUGGUAAGAUUGCCGUCAUUUCAAUUAAUAUAUUUUUCGCUGCUUAAUCCUAUUUCCUUUUACGUAUUCGCAUUUUUUGUGAUUUUUUGAUAUAUUAUUUACCGCACCACAAUUUUGUUUUUUAUAUAAAUGUUCUAACCAACCAUCUAAGUUACUUUUAACAUUUUGCAGUGGAACCAUAUGAACACGACGUUAAGGUGCUUUAAUUUUAGAUCAAUCAAUCAAUCAAUCCUUAAAUGUACAGUGGGUCCUUCAAGGGCAAGAUUAAGAGUAGCGCCAUGUAAAAUCUUUGGCACUACAACCAUGAAAAUAACAAUACUAACAAUGGCAAAAACAUCAACAAAUAAUACAAUCUCGUUUCGACAGUGUGAUGAAAUACGCGCGAAUUUGCAUCACUGGAGCCUGCACACCACCUCUCCCUCUCUCCUGAAUGAGAUACGACAGACGUGCGAUGAACUAGCGGAAAGCAAGAGGAAGGUGGCUAACAUCCAGGGACUUUUCCAUCUGGGACGACAUACUAUUCUACCUGUGGCGAGCCUCGUGGCGACCUACUACGUGAUCCUGAUGCAGUUCAGUAUGUCAGAUGGCUCUAAUGCAUUAUUAUUCUUAACAUCUGUGGAAAAAAUAACUAAGAACGUGACCCAUUUUUAACUUUUCUUUCAUUUAUUUUUUUGUUUCAUUUAGUAAGGUUGAGUUUAGUAUAAAAGAGGGAAGUGAGAGAAGUGAUGAAUGAAAAUAAAAUAAAAAAGUAACAAAGCAAAAAUAACAGUUUUAAUAGAAAAAAAAAGAUGAAACUGCUUAAAAAGUAAAAGGCUACAUCGAUCCGUCGUGAAAUGCCUGCUGGCAAACACCGGAACCUCGAGAAUUAGUUCCAUUGUUUUGCUUCACUUUAUACCAGUUUUUGAAAUUGUUGAAUUUAAUGUAGAGUGAUGGCUUCAUAAAGGAAGUGCAUAGUCUUGCAGACAAAAGGAUCUAAAGAUAUAUGAAGAUUUAUUCUUAUGAAUAUGUUCAAGAUCUUUAGAUAUUCAGCUAGAUUAAAAAGAAAAAAAAAUCGCCGACACUAAAAGCUGUAUCUCUAUUGUCUUCAUAGUUAAUACUAACAUUGUGACCAAGACGUCUAAACAUCUUUAGAAGCUGCAAUGUAUCACCUUCAACUCAAUGUUAUGCUUUGAUUCAUCAUUUAAUGAUGCACAUAUUGCAGGCUUUGUCUUGAUGCUGUUAAUUGUAUGUUGCUGUAAAUUGGUGUUCAUCUAUGAAGUUAGGGAUUAUCAAAUUAUUUGUAGAGGAAGUUGUAUUAUAUUUAAGAUCUCCAUAACGUCAGUGUCUGUUAUUCCAUUAAUAAUCCUGUUUUACAUAAAGUUUAAAUAAAAUGAUGACAUACUACUCA